CCUACGGGUGGCAGCAGUGAGGAAUAUUGGUCAAUGGCCGUAAGGCUGAACCAGCCAAGUCGCGUGAAGGAAGAAGGAUCUAUGGUUUGUAAACUUCUUUUAUAGGGGAAUAAAGGUCUCCACGUGUGGAUCUUUGCAUGUACCCUAUGAAUAAGCAUCGGCUAACUCCGUGCCAGCAGCCGCGGUAAUACGGAGGAUGCGAGCGUUAUCCGGAUUUAUUGGGUUUAAAGGGUGCGUAGGUUGUUUUUUAAGUCAGCGGUGAAAGUUUGUGGCUCAACCAUAAAAUUGCCGUUGAAACUGGAAGACUGGAGUGUGUUUGAGGUAGGCGGAAUGCGUGGUGUAGCGGUGAAAUGCAUAGAUAUCACGCAGAACUCCGAUUGCGAAGGCAGCUUACUAAACUGUGACUGACAUUGAUGCUCGAAAGUGUGGGUAUCAAACAGGAUUAGAUACCCGAGUAGUC
rnacentral:rRNA from 1 species